rnacentral:rRNA from 1 species
CCCUUAGAUGUUCUGGGCCGCACGCGCGCUACACUGAUGCAUUCAACGAGUCUAAAACCUGGUCUGAUAGGGCUGGGUAAUCUUUUGAAAGUGCAUCGUGAUUGGGAUAGAUGAUUGCAAUUCUUCAUCUUCAACGAGGAAUGCCUAGUAAACGCAAGUCAUCAGCUUGUAUUGAUUACGUCCCUGCCCUUUGUACACACCGCCCGUCGCUCCUACCGAUUGAAUGAUCCGAUGAAUACCAUGGAUUGAGAGUACGAAUGGGUUCGCUCAUUUCUGCUGCUCGAGAAGUGGAGUAAAUCUUAUCAUUUAGAGGAAGGAGAAGUCGUAACA